UUGCCAUGAUGAAAGUAAAAUUCGUGGAAAGCGUUAUGCCAAUGUUUCAUGAUAAAUCGGCAAAUGCCGACCUGAGUGGUUACCUGAGCAA